AUUCUCCAAGAGGAAUGCAAGUUUUAAACCCUUUCUUGGAGAAAGGAUUAAGGGCAACUGCAAUAUCACCUGAUUUUAUGUACUUGUUUAAAAAUACUAUUGCUCAAGCCUGGAUUGAUAACUUAAUGAAGGGUAAUAUAGACCCAGGGGAAGUUUCUUUAGGUCAGAAUCUCUCAAAUUUGUUAAGACUUGGUUUACUGUAUAAGUUUGGUGGGAUUUAUUUAGAUACUGAUGUUAUAGUGUUGAAGAGU
rnacentral:misc_RNA from 1 species